AUUGGUUUGUCAAAGGAAGUAGCUGUAUCGGGAAGACGCACAGGGCAAGGUCCUGCCAGACCCUCUGGGAGCUAAGGGUAACCUCCAGGAUAAGGGAAACCUCCAGGAAGCAUGAAGUCAGAGAUUUCAGUCCUGCGACUUUAAGAAAAUGAGUUCUGCCAAUAACAGGAGUGACCUUGAAAGAGAUUCUGCUGAAGCUUUCCAAUGAGAACAUAGCCUGACUGAUGCUUUGAUUAUAGACUUUAAACAGAAGACGAGCUAAGGCGAUUCACGAUUAUGAAUUGUUCUACGGAAGAGGAAGAGUACACACUGUGGCUGUUCCUGAAAGAACUAAGCACAAUCCUUAGUGUAUAUUUUCUUCUUAUGAGGAUCCAACUCAAGACCUCAAGCUUGCCAGGAAAGUAUGGCUUUGACCACCUCCCUGUUUGCCAUCUUCUAUUCCCUACUCCCUGGUAACUACCAUUCCAGUCCACUUCUGUGUAAAUUAAUUUAAUUUUAUAAUAGAUGGGAGAUAUACGGAUAUUAUUUUUUGUUUGGUUUGUUGUCUUAUUUACCUGUGGGAUCUUGUUCAAUUAUUAGACAAGCUCUUUACCACUGAGUAUUUAUUUACUUAUUUACUUGAGACAAGUUCUCCUUAUGCAGUUCACGUUGGCCUUGCACUCACUUUGUAGCUCAGGCUGGCCUCAAAUUUACAAUGAUCUUCUUAUCUCAGCCUAUGAGUGCUAGGAUUAUAGGCAUGCGUCAUAAUGUUCAAUGAUCUUUCUAUUUUGAGACAGAUUCUUACUAAAUUGUCCCAGCUGGCCUCAAAUUUGCAAUGUUUCUGCCUCAAUCUGUGUAGUAGCUGGAAUUACAGGUGCACACCACCAUGUCUGACUUGUUGUUUUAUAGUUAAAUUUAUUACAUGUUUGGAAUUUUUACAGAAUUGUAUAGAAUUAUACUUAAAAAAAUCAUGAAUGAUGUCUUCUCAACCAUUUUGUUGUUUUCCUCUUUAUCUUUCCUUUGUGCUAACUUUACCUCUUUUAUGGGUCAAUUCUUUCACAGAGUUAUUUUUGCAGUUUUUCAAAGUGAGGUUUUGAAAGUGAAACUUAAAGUUUU